UACGUAGGGUGCAAGCGUUAAUCGGAAUUACUGGGCGUAAAGCGUGCGCAGGCGGCCAUGCAAGACAGAUGUGAAAUCCCCGGGCUCAACCUGGGAACUGCAUUUGUGACUGCAUGGCUAGAGUACGGCAGAGGGGGAUGGAAUUCCGCGUGUAGCAGUGAAAUGCGUAGAUAUGCGGAGGAACACCGAUGGCGAAGGCAAUCCCCUGGGCCUGUACUGACGCUCAUGCACGAAAGCGUGGGGAGCAACAGG
rnacentral:rRNA from 1 species